rnacentral:lncRNA from 1 species
UAAUAUUUGUGAUUUUUUUUUUCUCAGAGGUAACAUAAUGAUUUUAAAAUUCUUUUUCAGACUCCUUUCCUUUCUCAAAUUUGGAACAAGGAAACCAAUGUAGGAAAUUGAGAAGCUGCUGCCAAGGAGGUCUCUUGCUGGCUGAGCUGGAGAACACACUGCCAUUUCGGAGAACACAUCCCCUUCAGGAGCCGUGGUUUCAGCCAAUCCCCUGACAGUCUACACAAAGGCACAGUGGGGAGGAUUUAGAGAGGACAAGGCGGAACACAAGCUAAAAGCCCUGCUGACACACACU